GUUAGGUUAAGUUAGAUUAGGUUAGUUUUAUUUAUGGUCAAUAGGGGAUUUUUGAGUGUGAACAGGGCAGGAUAGGUUAGGUUAAGUUAGAUUAGGUUAGGUGUAUUUAUGGUCAAUAGGGGAUUUUUGAGUGUGAACAGGGCAGGUUAGGUUAGGUUGAGUUAGAUUAGGUUAGGUGUAUUUAUGGUCAAUAGGGGAUUUUUGAGUGUGAACAGGGCAGGAUAGGUUAGGUUGAGUUAGAU